GCUUUAAGCAAUGAUGAUAUUGUCUUAAUCCCAGCUCAUUAUGAGACCUUCCAGAAUAUGGAAAUCAAGGAGUAAAUACCAUGUGGCAGUAUCUGAGCAAAAAU